GAUGAACGCUGGCGGCGUGCCUAAUACAUGCAAGUCGAGCGGUAACACUUCGGGUGACGAGCGGCGGACGGCUGAGUAACACGUAGGAACGUACCCCAAACUGAGGGAUAAGCACCGGAAACGGUGUCUAAUACCGCAUGUGGUCUUCGGAUUAAAGCUUCGGCGGUUUGGGAACGGCCUGCGCAUGAUUCGCUUGUUGGUGAGGUAAAAGCUCAACAAGGCGACGAUCAUUAGCUGGUCUGAGAGGAUGAUCAGCCAGACUGGGACUGAGACACGGCCCAGAGUCCUACGGGAGGCAGCAGUAGGGAAUUUUCCACAAUGGGCGAAAGCCUGAUGGAGCAACGCCGCGUGCAGGAUGAAUGCCUUCGGGUUGUAAACUGCUUUUAUUGGUGACGAUUAUGACGGUAGCCAAUGAAUAAGGAUCGGCUAACUCCGUGCCAGCCGCCGCGGUAA
rnacentral:rRNA from 1 species